rnacentral:tRNA from 1 species
GAGAUGUGGCUCAGGGGUAGAGCUUGCCUGGCAUGCAUGAGGCCCUGGGUUCCAUCCCCAGCCACUGCA